AUUGAACGCUGGCGGCAUGCUUUACACAUGCAAGUCGAACGGUAACAGGCCGCAAGGUGCUGACGAGUGGCGAACGGGUGAGUAAUGCAUCGGAACGUGCCCAGUCGUGGGGGAUAACGCAGCGAAAGCUGUGCUAAUACCGCAUACGAUCUGUGGAUGAAAGCGGGGGACCGUAAGGCCUCGCGCGAUUGGAGCGGCCGAUGUCAGAUUAGGUAGUUGGUGGGGUAAAGGCUCACCAAGCCAACGAUCUGUAGCUGGUCUGAGAGGACGACCAGCCACACUGGGACUGAGACACGGCCCAGACUCCUACGGGAGGCAGCAGUGGGGAAUUUUGGACAAUGGGCGCAAGCCUGAUCCAGCAAUGCCGCGUGCAGGAAGAAGGCCUUCGGGUUGUAAACUGCUUUUGUACGGAACGAAACGGUCCUGGCUAAUACCCGGGGCUAAUGACGGUACCGUAAGAAUAAGCACCGGCUAACUACGUGCCAGCCGCCGCCGUAAUAC
rnacentral:rRNA from 1 species